AACGGCGUCACGUAAAUUUCCUAGAAGUCCAGCUCCGUAUCCUGACCAAGCGUACGCGAGGAAAGUUAAUAAAUAUACAAAAAUUUUUCUAUAUCGCAUUAAAUCCAUUGUAGGCAAUGAUUAUAAUUAUAUCAGACUGGUCAUGAGAAUUUUAUGUUCCCACUUGAUUGGUAAUGAAGGAGGUGAACAACUGCAGUGAGAAAUUCAAAAAUCUAGGAAGUGAUGAUGAAAAAAAUGAUAAAUUUUGCUGGUUCGUAUUUUUAAUUACAAGCAGCAGUAUCAGGAAAGAUUUAAAUUUAAAUGUCAACUGGCCCCGCUGAUCUGGUGCACGAAUCAGCACAAGUAGAAUUUGCUUUUAAAAAAUUUCCAUACGCUGAUUAGCAGUGAUGGGCAUACUUAAGUACAUUUGUAUUUUAAGUACUAAUUAAGUAAUAAAUACUUUGAUAUAUAAUAAUUUUUUUUUGUAGAGUAAAAAUAUGCAAGUAAUUAGUAUUUUUAACAAGUACUAAAUACGACAUACCGAAGUACUUCGUAUUUUAUUUAUUAUCUAAUUACAAAUACUUUUAAUUUUUCCUAGUACUAAAUACAAUAGUAUUUAGUAUUUUAUUUUUAAACUAAAUAAGAAUACUUUUGUACUCAUAGAACGGUUCAAGUACUAAGUACAUUUGUACUGAGAUUAAAAGUUGCAUUCAAGUACUAGAUCAUUGGUAUUUCUAACAAAAAAUAAUUAAAAACUCCCAGAGUAUUUUUUAGAUUGACUAUAGAAGUUGAGCCAAUAAUAAAUUAAAACGAUUAAACCUUUUAACUCUACAAGAACUUUUUAUUUUAAAUUUUAUGUCAAUAGAAAAAAGUUUUUUUUUUUUUUAAGAACCCGUAAAGAAAUGAUGUUAUAAAAUUUUAUAUAAUCAUUUUUGCUCGGGUAUAUAAAAAUGAUUGAUUAGAUUACUGGUUGAAGCUGAAACAUAAACUGUACGCGUGCACUUAUUUGAACUAAACAGUAUAAAUUUGACAACAAUAUAUUAAUAUCAUCUAAUGAAUAAAUUUGACUAUUAAAAUCUUAGGAGUGCAAUAGUAUAUUCAAAAAUGAUAAUUUUAAGUCUCAAUCGUCGUAUGUAAAGUUCUGGUAGUGAUAGAAUAAGUAUUAAAAAUUUUUUUUUAAUAGAUACUGUGACAAUUAUAAGUUGUAAUUACAAUUAUGCUUAGUACUUAUAUCAAAUUUAAGUAAAAAGUACUACAACAAGUACAAUGUAUUUAGUAUAGAUAAAUCGUAAAAAAUACUAAGUUACAAACUAUUUAGUACUUUGUCUGUUUCUGAGGAUAAGUAUUUUUUAGACACGUACCAAUAAUUCAUUUGGGUUUCAAGUCAAAUUUUACUUAAAUACUCAGUAUUUAUUAAAUCCUAUUUUGCCCAUCUCUGCUGAUUAGUUUCUUGAAGAAUGGAAUAGAAAAUUAUAAAUUUAUGGUAAAAUUGUUUGAUUUACUUAUGAAAAAUUGAUAAUAAUUAAGUUUUUUAAAAUAUUUUUUUUGGUGUCAUUAUUCCAGUCCGUUUACUUUUUAGUUCGUCCAUUUUUGGUUUGUGACUGCGAUUGAUUUUUCUAUUAAUUUAAAAUUGUAAAAACAAAUUAGUUAUUACCUGGCAUUAAUUAACAAAAAAAAAGUUUAUGCCUAAAAUCAUACAAGUUCUAAUUACUUUGCUAUUUUUUUUGGAUUCAUCAGCUGUGACAUGGACACCAACUUCCGAUGGGCUUAAUUUUUCUUUUACGCUGUAUUUAUUCGCUUCUAGGCUUCUGCAGAUCGACGACCUGUUUGAACUAUAUGAUGAACCCAUCAUUUGCCUUGAGUUACUAUGAGACAAAUUUUAUUCCUCAACAAACCAACCAAGUCUCUUACACAUAACAUAAUGUAAUGAUUUCACGAAAUAAUUAAUAUAAAUACAACGGAAACGUCAAAAUCAUUAUUAUUUUGUUAUCAUAAAAUUAAAUUGAACCCUCACGUUACAGUAAAUUUAAACAAUUUUGUUAACUAGAUAUAACUUUUAAACUGAGCUGUUUAAAAUAAAUUUUAAUUAAUUUAUACUCAAUCAAAUUUUUCCUACUCAGUGAUUAAAUUUGUCAUUAUUUAAUAUCUUAUUUUACAAUACGUGAUGAUAAAUAAUUACAGUCGAUAGUUUUGUAUUUUUUAAUCACGUAUUGUCUUUUAAAAAUGUCAUAUUACUUGUAAUCAAUGAUAGUUUUUCUCAAGUUAUCAAAAGUACUGGUCUUGCUGAUCUGAUGCACGAAUCAGCGCCAAGAGAAUUUGCGUUAGAAAAAUGUCCAUACGCUGAUGGCUUUCGUGAAGAAUGGACUGAAAAAUUAUAAACUUGUGGUAAAAUACUUUGAUUUAAUUAUAAAAAAUCUCUAAUAAUUAAUUUUAUUCUCGUUGCACAGGAUCAAUGGGUUUAAUUAAAUAAAACAUUAAUCAAUAAAAAAUUUAUCAAUUGAAACAGUUUACAUUUUUUUUUCUUUCAUUUAAAAUUUAAAAUUUCUUGAUUUAUUUUUGUCGAUGGAAACAUCCAGUCUGUGGUCGUCUUUGGUCUCUUGACUUUGACUAGUUUUUUAUUUUCUUUUAAAUAUAAAAAAAGUUUUAAUUACUUUUAAUAUUUAUAAGAAAUAUAAUAAUAAAAAUUUAAAUUACUUUAAAAUCAUUUUUUUUCUCCUCUGGAUAAAUCCGACAAAGUAUGAAUUCUUACCCCUGAGUCUGUUACUUUUCCUUUAACUCUGAAUUGAUCAUUUCCAGCACCGACACUUAAUCCAGAUUCACCAACUUUACCUUUAACUCUGAAACUAUCAGAUCUAGCACCGAUACUAAUUCCAGAUGGACCAACUUUCCCUGAUACUCUCAUUUUUUCACCAGUUGGACUUUUCAUGUCAGAACUUACGGUAACAGAUUGACCCAUUGUCUUGAAAUUUAUUUAAAAAGUUAUAAAAUAAAAUUAUUUAAUAGGAAAUUACUAUUUAAAAUAAAAUAAUGUAAUUAAUUAUCAAAUAAAUAAUUACGUUACGGACGUUGAGUUACAAAUAAACUCAAUAGUUUAAUAAGUAAAGUAACUAAUUCAACUGUAAUGUUUUCCAUAAAUUUUAUUCAAUUUAUAGAUAAUUUAAUAAUAAAAAUUUUCAUUAUUUUGU